GACGAACGCUGGCGGCGUGCCUAACACAUGCAAGUCGAACGGAAAGGCCCUGCUUUUGUGGGGUGCUCGAGUGGCGAACGGGUGAGUAACACGUGAGUAACCUGCCCUUGACUUUGGGAUAACUUCAGGAAACUGGGGCUAAUACCGGAUAGGAGCUCCUGCUGCAUGGUGGGGGUUGGAAAGUUUCGGCGGUUGGGGAUGGACACGCGGCUUAUCAGCUUGUUGGUGGGGUAGUGGCUUACCAAGGCUUUGACGGGUAGCCGGCCUGAGAGGGUGACCGGCCACAUUGGGACUGAGAUACGGCCCAGACUCCUACGGGAGGCAGCAGUGGGGAAUAUUGCACAAUGGGCGGAAGCCUGAUGCAGCAACGCCGCGUGCGGGAUGACGGCCUUCGGGUUGUAAACCGCUUUCGCCUGUGACGAAGCGUGAGUGACGGUAAUGGGUAAAGAAGCACCGGCUAACUACGUG
rnacentral:rRNA from 1 species